rnacentral:rRNA from 1 species
GCGACAGCCAGGAUGUUGGCUUGGAAGCAGCCAUUCAUUUAAAGAGUGCGUAACAGCUCACUGGUCGAGGGUCCGGGCGUGGAUAAUAAUCGGGUAUAAGGCAGACACCGAAGACGCGGGAUAGCAUUAAAAAAAGUAUCGGUAGGGGAGCAUUCCAUCGGCGUUGAAUGCGGCGAGGCGAUUGCCGCUGGAGCCCAUGGAAAAGCAAAUGUAGGUAUAAGUAACGAUAAGGGGGGUAAGAUUCCCCCCCGCCGCAAGACUAAGGUUUCCCGGGCAAUGCCAAUCAUCCCGGGGUCAGUCGGGUCCUAAGGCUCAGCCGAACGGCGAGGCCGAUGGCAGAAAGGGUCAAUAUUCCCUUACUGCCGCACGGAGCGACGCGGAGACGGAGGCGUGACACCACCGCGGAGAUACGGAAUUCUCCGUUGAAGGGCGUAGGCGUUGAGGGCGGCAGGCAAAUCCACCGCCCGAGCCGAACCCCGAAAGUAUGCUUUUCCCCUCGGGGAAAGGCAAUAGCGUGGGUAACCAUACUCCCGAGAAAAUCCGCUAAGCUUCAUCCGUGCGGCACCCGUACCGCAAACGGACACACGUAGUCGGGUAGAACAUACUGAGGCGUUGAGAGAUUCAUGGUUAAGGAACUAGGCAAACUGACCCCGUAACUUCGGGAUAAGGGGUCCUCGUCGCAAGGCGAGGCGCAGAGAAUAGGUCCAGGCAACUGUUUAACAAAAACACAGGGCUGUGCCAACUCGAAAGAUGACGUAUACAGCCUGACACCUGCCCGGUGCCGGAAGGUUAAGAGGAGAGCUCAGAGGCAACUCGAAGGUUUGAAUUGAAGCCCCGGUAAACGGCGGCCGUAACUAUAACGGUCCUAAGGUAGCGAAAUUCCUUGUCGGGUAAGUUCCGACCUGCACGAAUGGUGUAAUGAUCCGGACACUGUCUCAACCAUGAUUCCGGUGAAAUUGUAGUAUCGGUGAAGAUGCCGAUUACCCGCGAUGGGACGAAAAGACCCCGUGAACCUUUACUGCAGCUUAGCAUUGACCUUGGUCAUCCGAUGUGUAGGAUAGGCCGGAGGCUUCGAAGCGGGGGCGCCAGCCCUUGUGGAGCCACCCUUGAAAUACGGCCCUUUGGCUGUCCGAGGUCUAACCCGCUUGUUGCGGGGACACUGCUUGGUGGGCAGUUUGACUGGGGUGGUCGCCUCCAAAAGCGUAACGGAGGCUUCCAAAGGUACCCUCAGGCCGAUUGGUAACCGGCCGUUGAAUGCAAUGGCAUAAGGGUGCUUGACUGCGAGGCCGACAAGCCGAUCAGGUAGGAAACUAGGGCAUAGUGAUCCGGUGGUUCCGUAUGGAAGGGCCAUCGC